rnacentral:rRNA from 1 species
UACGUAGGGCGCAAGCGUUGUCCGGAAUUAUUGGGCGUAAAGAGCUCGUAGGCGGCUUGUUGCGUCGUCCGUGAAAACCCGCAGCUCAACUGCGGGCUUGCGGACGAUACGGGCAGGCUGGAGUUCGGUAGGGGAGACUGGAAUUCCUGGUGUAGCGGUGAAAUGCGCAGAUAUCAGGAGGAGCACCGAUGGCGAAGGCAGGUCUCUGGGCUGUAACUGACGCUGAGGAGCGAAAGCAUGGGGAGCGAACAGG